rnacentral:rRNA from 1 species
UUGGCCUCGGGUCGGACAAGAUUACCCGCUGAACUUAAGCAUAUCAAUAAGCGGAGGAAAAGAAACCAACAGGGAUUGCCUUAGUAACGGCGAGUGAAGCGGCAACAGCCCAGAUUUGUAAUCUGGCCUCCUCGUCGGGGGUCCGACUUGUAAUCUGCAGAUGGGUUUUCCGGCGACGCGCGCGUCCAAGUUCCCUGGAAUGGGAUGCCUUAGAGGGUGAGAGCCCCGUACAGGCGCGUGCCGAGCCUCCGUGAGGCCCAUUCGACGAGUCGAGUAGUUUGGAAAUGCUGCUCUAAUCGUGGGGUAAAUCUCCCAUAAGGCUAAAUAUCGGCCGGAGACCGAUAGCGCACAAGUAGCGUGAGCGAAAGAUGAAAAGAGCCUUGGAUAAGGGCGUCAAAAAGCAUGUGAAAUUGUUGUGGGGGAAGCGCUCGUCGCCAGACGUGGCGGCGGCUGGUUAACCGGCGUCCUCGCCGGCUCACUCUGCCCGCCGCCAGGCCAGCACCGGCUCGGACCGGGGCUCAAUGCCAGCGGGAAUGUGGCUCCCUUCGGGGAGUGUUAUAGCCCGUCGGCGACGCCCUGAACCGGGCCGAGGAUCGCGCAUCUGCUCGGAUGCUGGCUUAAUGGCGCCUAGCGACCCGUCUUGAAACACGGACCAAGGAGUUGACCUGGCGCGCGAGUGUUCGGGUGUCAAGCCCCUACGCGUAGUGAAAGCGAACGCUGGUGGGAGCCCUUUAGGGUGCACCAUCGACCGAUCCUGAAGUUUACAGAUGGAUUUGAGUAGGAGCGCGCCGGGUCUGACCCGAAAGAAGGUGAACUAUGCAUGAAUAGGGUGAAGCCAGAGGAAACUCUGGUGGAGGCUCGCAGCGGUUCUGACGUGCAAAUCGAUCGUCAAAUUUGUGCAUGGGGGCGAAAGACCAAUCGAACCUUCUAGUAGCUGGUUCCUGCCGAAGUUUCCCUCAGGAUAGCAGAGUUGGGGCCUCAGUUUCAUGAGGUAAAGCGAAUGAUUAGAGACCAGGGGGCGCUAUUUAGCCUUCAUCUAUUCUCAAACUUUAAAUAUGUGAGAAGCCUUGUGUUACUUUUUUGAACGCAGGCGAGCGAAUGAACCAACUCUAGUGGGCCAUUUUUGGUAAGCAGAACUGGCGAUGUGGGAUGAACCAUACGGGGACUUAAGGC